CCACCGAGUUGUUUAAAUACAAUUUUAAAAAUUUAGGCACAAUCAUUUCCUUCAAUUAGUGGGUUACCAAAUUGUUUAGAGUGCAGUACCGUAUCCACUACUUGUGUUUGAUGGAUGCUCUAUACGCGAUGCAGGAUUCUUGCAUACCGACAAAUCAUCUGGACCGCCCGGAGAUAGUGGACUUGGACUGGAACUCCGAAGACUUGCAGGGCUGGUGCUUUCAGUUCCAGUGGGGGAUCUCCUGGUAAUGGAGCAGUUGGUCGACCUACAUUAAAAUAUUAAAUAUUUAAGAUUGUAAAUUAAAUUUGAAAACAGUUGCGCUAUUUUAUGGGAUUUACAAUCUUAUUUCAAAAUUUUCUUGAAAGAAAAUGAUACUUU